UACCUUAGUCCUGCUUGCAACCGAAGUCUUUAAAGAUAUGUUUGCCCUCUGGUUGGUAUUAUCAUAGGAACAAGUUAGUCCUUUUUGAACAGACUAAGGGCGAUUUUUAUUUUUGACAAAUAUUCCGUACAAUUGAAAUAAACUAUUUCCUUGUUUACCACAGCAGGGAUUGAACAAUAUGUGCCAGAAGGGGAGUGGGCCGGAAUCAAACCCAUGCUGACACGGAAUUUCAUGAUGCACAGGAAACAUUUUCCAUGACAAAAGAGUGAUCAAAUUAAGAUCCAACAUCUGUAGUUUUUCCGAGCCAAUGUGCUUCUGCCUCUGCAUUGCUUCCUCUUUGGGUUUUUAGACUGGGCAUCUGAAAAGUACUUUGUGAUAGCUGCUGAUGUAAAAAGGGCUUUAAACAUACAUUUGAUUGAUUAAUUGAGGUCUGGACCAUUAUGGCACAGGGAGGUAUUGCACUUUCCCAGUACAUUGCAUAUCACUCACUCCAGUAGGUUGUAGUAAACAUCACUGACAUCAUUGAGUGGUUGAUGCUGAUUGGUUGUUUCUGCCAGGUUAACUACGGCACUGACGUGUAGUUGAUCAGGAGGGAGGAGGAGCCAGAGAGCUUUGACGGCAUUGUGACCAAUCUGAGAGAUGUCGUCAUAGCAGCAACAGGAGCUGACUGUGCGCCCCUCCUCUUCACUGACCCCCAGGCCAAGGUCAUUGGAACUGUUCACAAACGAUGGAAAGAAACCCAUAUGGAAGUUGCCAUAGCUACAGUCAACGCCAUGGUGACCGGGUUCGGCAGCAGCAUGUGGGAUGUCACUGUGGUGAUCGGGCCAUCGGUGCUGCUAGGCUGGAUAGUCUCCUGAUUGACAUCCUACAGGCUGUCGCCGGGUUACCGUUCUCCAUGAUUCAUUACCAUAGCACGAGUUACCCCCCAGCCACUCAUCUGAUUGAAUACACAAAGGUCAUGACCUGGGAGCGAUCUCUGUGA
rnacentral:lncRNA from 13 species